CACGUAGGCACCAAGCGUUGUCCGGAUUUAUUGGGCGUAAAGAGCUCGUAGGCGGUUCGGUAAGUCGGGUGUGAAAACUCUGGGCUCAACCCCAGAGCCGCCACCGAUACUGCUGUGACUUGAGUGCGGUAGGGGAGCGGGGAAUUCCUGGUGUAGCGGUGAAAUGCGCAGAUAUCGGGAGGAACACCAAUGGCGAAGGCAGCUCGCUGGGACGGUACUGACGCUGAGACGCGAAAGCGUGGGGAGCGAACAGG
rnacentral:rRNA from 1 species